AAUGAACGUUGGCGGCGUGGAUUAGGCAUGCAAGUCGUGCGGAAAGGCUCCUUCGGGAGUACUCGAGCGGCGAAAGGGAGAGUAACGCGUGGAUAUCUACCCCCUGGCCUGGGAUAGCGGCGGGAAACUGCCGGUAAUACCAGAUAAUGUCUGCGGACCAAAGGUGUGAUUCCGCCGGGGGAUGAGUUCGCGUCCUAUUAGCUAGUUGGUAGGGUAAUGGCCUACCAAGGCACAAAUGGGUACCGGGUGUGAGAGCAUGGCCCGGCUCACUGGGACUGAGACACUGCCCAGACACCUACGGGUGGCUGCAGUCGAGAAUCUUCGGCAAUGGGCGCAAGCCUGACCGAGCGACGCCGCGUGCGGGAUGAAGGCCUUCGGGUUGUAAACCGCUGUCAGAGGGGAGGAAAUGCGUAGGAGUUCUCUCCUACGUUUGACCUAUCCUCAGAGGAAGUACGGGCUAAGUUCGUGCCAGCAGCCGCAGUAAAAC
rnacentral:rRNA from 1 species